UACGGAGGGUGCAAGCGUUAAUCGGAAUUACUGGGCGUAAAGCGUGCGCAGGCGGUUUGUUAAGUCCGUUGUGAAAGCCCCGAGCUCAACUUGGGAAUUGCAGUGGAUACUGGCAGGCUGGAGUACGGUAGAGGAAGGUGGAAUUCCUGGUGUAGCGGUGAAAUGCGCAGAUAUCAGGAGGAACACCGGUGGCGAAGGCGGAUCUCUGGGCCGAUACUGACGCUGAGGAGCGAAAGCGUGGGGAGCGAACAGG
rnacentral:rRNA from 1 species